rnacentral:rRNA from 1 species
CGCCUCUUGAAUUAACAUAAGAGGUCCAGCCUGCCCAGUGACCCAGUUUAACGGCCGCGGUAUCCUAACCGUGCGAAGGUAGCGUAAUCACUUGUUCUUUAAAUGAGGACUAGUAUGAACGGCAUCACGAAGGCUCUACUGUCUCCCCUUUUUAAUCAGUGAAACUAAUCUUCCCGUGAAGAAGCGGGAAUGCUAUAAUAAGACGAGAAGACCCUAUGGAGCUUUAAACUAUUUAACAUCUGCUGGCCCCACCCCCACUCUCAGUAGCCUCACAAAAACACAGCACUAUGAUUAUAUGUUUUCGAUUGGGGUGAUCACGGAGUAAAAAUUAACCUCCACGCCAAAUGGGCCCAACCCCUGAACUAUAAGCCACAACUUUAAGUACUAAAAAAUUAUUGUUUAUUGACCCAAUAACUUGAUCAACGAACCAAGUUACCCUAGGGAUAACAGCGCAAUCCACUUCAAGAGCUCCUAUCGACAAGUGGGUUUACGACCUCGAUGUUGGAUCAGGGUGUCCGAGUGGUGCAGCCGCUACUAACGGUUCGU